rnacentral:rRNA from 1 species
AACGAACGCUGGCGGCAUGCCUAACACAUGCAAGUCGAACGAGACCUUCGGGUCUAGUGGCGCACGGGUGCGUAACGCGGGGGAACCAGCCCUAAGGUUCGGAAUAAACCCCCGAAAGGGGUGCUAAGAACGGAUAAUGUCUUCGGACCAAAGAUUUAUCGGCUUUGGAUGGGCCCGCGUUUGAUUAGCUAGUUGGUAGGGGAAAAGCCGACCAAGGCGACGAUCCAUAGCGUGUCUGAGCGGAUGAUCAGCCACACUGGGACGGAGACACGGCCCAGACUCCUACGGGAGGCAGCGGUGGGGAUUAUUGGACGAUCGGCGGACUCCUGAUCCAGCUCUGCCUCGUGAGUGAUGAAUGUCUUAGUGUUGUAAAGCUCUUGUUCCCGGGAUGAUAAUGACAGUACCGGGAGAAUAAGCGCCGGCUAACUCCGUG